CUCCAGACUCCUACGGGAGGCAGCAGUGAGGAAUAUUGGUCAAUGGCCGUAAGGCUGAACCAGCCAAGUAGCGUGAGGGAAGACUGCCCUAUGGGUUGUAAACCUCUUUUAUGCGGGGAUAAAGGUGUCCACGUGUGGAUGUUUGCAGGUACCGCAUGAAUAAGGACCGGCUAAUUCCGUGCCAGCAGCCGCGGUAAUACGGAGGAUGCGAGCGUUAUCCGGAUUUAUUGGGUUUAAAGGGUGCGCAGGCGGAGGUGCAAGUCAGCGGUCAAAUUGCGGGGCUCAACCCCGUACUGCCGUUGAAACUGCAUCCCUUGAGUGCGCGAGAAGUAUGCGGAAUGCGUGGUGUAGCGGUGAAAUGCAUAGAUAUCGCGCAGAACUCCGAUUGCGAAGGCAGCAUGCCGGCUCCACACUGACGCUGAGGCACGAAAGCGUGGGUAUCGAACAGGAUUAGAUACCCCUGUAA
rnacentral:rRNA from 1 species